GAGAGACACUGAGUGAGAGUGUGUGAGGGAGAGAGAGAGAGAGCGAGCGAGAGAGAGAGGUGCAGAUAGCAGCGACUGCAGCUGUGCCUUGAUGUCAUGCUUAAAACAUGCAAUCUACUGCCCUCCCUUACGUUUAGUUCCAGUCUCAGUGCAAAACCUCUCAACUCCGCACAUCAAAGAGACACAUGCACCUGCGAAUAAAUCACAGCAAAUGCUGAACCAUCCAACAACGUUCACCUAAUUUCCUUGGCAACGCCAUCUAGUGCCUCAGACUGCACCAGACUGAACAAAGAAGUUGCUGAGGAACUGAUGGCUGACUGCUUCUGCGGGGUCUCUUCGAGGUCAUGGCGUCCAAACCACAGGAAGUGCUGCCCUGCCCGUGCUGAAGCUGCCUCUGCAGCCUUCUGCUUGUGGUUGCGGGUGAACCGGCUGUAGCCCGCUGGAAAAGCAGCAGUCGGCUUCACCGUGAAGUCUGUCUCGUAGGCUGAGACGUUCCCUCCAGUCUCUGAUGUGCCGCUGUCAGCUCCAUCGGGGCAGAGGCUGAAGUGAGAGUUUUGCUGCUUGCGUUCGUCGGGACACUUUCUCAGUCCCACACCCUGAAGUACACCAACAUGACACGGAGGCAGAGAACAAAUGUUUUCCUUUCAAGCUGUGAUAUGGUGAUAGGUCAGAACAUUUUGUUAUGCUGUGUAUUUCUCUUCAUACUCACAUAAGUGAAGACAGCAAUGUUAUCUUUUAAGGAAUGCUUGUUGUCAUGGUCUGAGAGUGGAUACUCCCUGGAUUCCUGUGAAGAAACACAUGAAGAAAAAACUCAGACAGUAAAACAACUGAACACAGAAAAACUGAGAAGGCAGUUUUUCUAAAUUUCUUUGAUAUGAAGUGCAAGGGCCAUGACAGAAGUGUGUAUAAAAGAACCAGUGAUACAAAAUCAUCUACUGCACAUACACACCUGUUGACUUUUCCAUUUAGGAUGGCGUUCAAAGCUCAAAGCCUGAGGCAACGAGGAUUCAACCUGACUAAGCAUGAUCCCAGUGCUUAUACAAGUCCGAGGGUCUCGCCUCUCCUCUCCUUUACUCUCUGGCAAAACUGUGUGAGCAAACUGAGAACAAUGAAAAAGAAAAGCUGAUUAUUUGUUCAAGUUUUAACUUGAUGUUGUGAUUAAAAUAAAGAAUUUCUUACCCAU